rnacentral:rRNA from 1 species
AUUGAACGCUGGCGGCAGGCUUAACACAUGCAAGUCGAACGGAGUGGCGGACGGGAGAGUAAUGCUUGUGAAUCUAGCUUAUGGAGAACGAUAACUACGGGGAACUGUAGCUGAUACCGCGUACCAUAGGAUGAGCCCAAGUGGGAUUAGGUAGUUGGUGAGGUAAAGGCUCACCAAGCCGACGAUCUCUAGCUGGUCUGAGAGGAUGACCAGCCACACUGGGACUGAGACACGGUCCAGACUCCUACGGGAGGCAGCAGUGGGGAAUAUUGGACAAUGGGCGAAAGCCUGAUCCAGCCAUGCCGCGUGUGUGAAGAAGGUCUUCGGAUUGUAAAGCACUUUAAGUUGGGAGGCGUUACCAACAGAAUAAGCACCGGCUAACUUCGUGCCAGCAGCCGCGGUAAUUC